UACCAGCACCCCGAGUGGUCGGGACGAUUAUUGGGCCUAAAGCAUCCGUAGCCGGUUUUACAAGUCCUCCGUUAAAUCCAGCUGCUUAACAGAUGGGCUGCGGAGGAUACUAUAAGACUAGGAGGCAGGAGAGGCAAGCGGUACUCAGUGGGUAGGGGUAAAAUCCGUUGAUCCAUUGAAGACCACCAGUGGCGAAGGCGGCUUGCCAGAAUGCGCUCGACGGUGAAGGAUGAAAGCUGGGGGAGCAAACCGG
rnacentral:rRNA from 1 species